rnacentral:rRNA from 1 species
AUUGAACGCUGGCGGCAUGCCUUACACAUGCAAGUCGAACGGCAGCACGGGUGCUUGCACCUGGUGGCGAGUGGCGAACGGGUGAGUAAUAAAUCGGAACGUACCUUAUCGUGGGGGAUAACGCAGCGAAAGUUGCGCUAAUACCGCAUACGCCCUGAGGGGGAAGGCGGGGGACCGUAAGGCCUCGCGCGAUUAGAGCGGCCGAUGUCUGAUUAGCUUGUUGGUGAGGUAAAAGCUCACCAAGGCGAUGAUCAGUAGCUGGUCUGAGAGGACGAUCAGCCACACUGGGACUGAGACACGGCCCAGACUCCUACGGGAGGCAGCAGUGGGGAAUUUUGGACAAUGGGGGCAACCCUGAUCCAGCAAUGCCGCGUGAGUGAAGAAGGCCUUCGGGUUGUAAAGCUCUUUUGUCAGGGAAGAAACAGCAGCUCUAACACAGUCUGCGAAUGACGGUACCUGAAGAAUAAGCACCGGCUAACUACGUGCCAGCAGCCGCGGUAA